rnacentral:tRNA from 1 species
ACCUCGAUGGUGAAACGGUAGACACGCUAGAUUCAAAAUCGGGUACUAAAAUAAGAAGAAGCAUAGAGGUUCGAAUCCUCUUCGAGGCA